rfam:Solanum tuberosum cultivar DM 1-3 516 R44 scf00353_32, whole genome shotgun sequence.
AUGAGAUGAAAUUAACAUUUGGACAUGCAAUUUCAUGCUGAUUUCAUCUCAUGA